rnacentral:rRNA from 1 species
UACAGAGGUCUCAAGCGUUGUUCGGAUUCAUUGGGCGUAAAGGGUGCGUAGGCGGCUUGGGAAGUCUGUGGUGAAAGCUCGUGGCUCAACUGCGAGUCGGCCAUAGAUACUCCUAAGCUCGAGUCGACUAGAGGCAGAUGGAAUUCCGGGUGUAGCGGUGGAAUGCGUAGAUAUCAGGAGGAACACCGGUGGCGAAGGCGGGAUCCUGGGCCAGUACUGACGCUGAGGAGCGAAAGCGUGGGGAGCGAACAGG